AGUAGUUGUAUAUAAAAAAGUUUAAGUAUAUUCUUAACAAUAUUCAAUACAAACAUUUGUGUUUUCAAGUUUUCAAUAGUCAUUUAGUUACUGGAACAGAUUUUUCUGUUAGCUAAGAAACUUGUAUGGAACUUUUACAAUGUAUAUGAGAUUAGUACGUUUGCAAUCUAUCUAGUCUGAAGUUGUAAAGCUCCUUAAAAUGACUGGAGUGUUUGUUGGGUCAUUUUCAUGAGAGUAAAUCCAUAU